AGAGUUUGGAAGAAUGCGUCCCCCAAAAUUCUUACAUUGUUACCAACCACAGAAACAAAACAUAGUGCUGGAAAGGAAUUUCAAGUCAUAGAUGCCAAACCCCUGAUUGUGUAGAUAAAAAUAAUGAGGCUCUGAGGUAAGUGACUUGCUCAAAGCCACUCAAUUCAGGAGUUAGAGCCAAAAUUCAUGACUUCUGGCCAAUUCUGGGCCCUUGCCACUCCACAAGCUGCAGUUUUUCUGUUUUAGCUAAAAUGAGUUUCAAACAGCCUAUCCACCAUAAAUGUAUUUCUUCAACUCUCAUUCUCUUGUAUAAGGCCUUACAGGGGACCCAACUUCUAAUGUUGAAGGAAAAAUAUUGCAUCUUUUAAAAAAUGGUCAAAAGGAAAGGAAACUUCUAGGCAUAUAAAUGUCACAUCACCCUGUAAGUAGGAACCCAUCAUUAUUGUGUGGGUAAGAAAGAAAUAAUUAAAGAAACCAAUUUCAGUUAAUUCCACAUGUAGUGUAUGCCUUUGAAAAGCAUCCAAAAUAUUUUCCAAACAUUCUCACAUACACUGCACACAUCUGUCCUAUGUAACCUGAAAAUGAUUUACCCUUGUGAAAUCAUUUGCACAAACCUGCCAACCUUAUGAAUGAUUUUGUUUGUCUACUGUCUCAAAAUAAUUGAUCUUACAUACGUUAAGCUAAUUAAAAUAGCCAGGCCCUUUCUUUGCAGAAAAUCCACAAGCCCUCUUUCAAUUAUGCUUCUGAGGUCAGGAAAGCAAUUCUUAUGGAAAAGUAGGCUAGAAUUUGCUUCAAUUUAUUAAGAUAAAACAUAAGAAUGUAUUUUUAAUGCAUUGAUAAAAAAUUCACCAAAAUAUUAGGUAUUUUUAGUCAGUCUCCAACUUACUAAAGGGUCAUAUUCCAAAAGUUAGUGGAUAAAUGAGUUGUCUGGAAUUUGGAGUGUAUUUUCCCAUAAAAACAGUGCUACCCAUAGGAGUUAGUUCCCAGGCCACCCUUUAAGUGCUAUUUAACCCAUAGUGUAGCAGCCUAUUGUGCACUUAAAAAUUAUUAUUUUAAUUUUGUUAUUAUUAGUUAACUGGCUCAAAAGUAACUGAUUGAUUUAGAGGCUGUUUUAGAUGCUGACAUCAGGAAAACCAGUUUCGAUUAUAGAUACUUGAGAUAGUAGUUGGAGACUUUUAUGUCAUUUCUGUAGAAGGCUUUGACGUACUUUGGAAACUCUAAAAAUAGAUGAUACUUAAUUUCAUCUGCUUACUUAUGACUAAAGGAGGAAACAGAGAGAAAAGCCUUGGCCCCUGCUCAACUUCCACCACUAUUAGGAAAAGAAGACAAGAAAUGGGAUAAAAGGAAAAGAGAAAAGAAGUUAAAAUUGUGUGCAUGUAUGUGCAUGCAGAGAUUAACUUAGCAGUGAACAAUGAGGAAAUGAGGAAAUUGAGGCACACACAAGAAAGGAGAUAGGAAGAGAUAUUGGUCUGAGACUUCUUUGUGUUGUUCACAAAGUGGCAGUGAUGACCUCUAGAAAGUUCAGAAGAGAAAAGGAAAGUUUUAGCAGGUACUCUGUGAACUUAUGUUUAGGAUAUGUAAUAAACAGAAGUUGUUACUUGGGGACAUGAGUUAACUGAUUUAAGAAUUGGACUCUCAGUUUGAAUCCAUACACAUCUAUGGAAGACCUACAGUGUUUCAAGAGCUGAAAUAUAGGACUAACUGCAAAAAUUAUCUGGCAAUAACCCUUUACCUUGCAGAGAUAAUAAUAGCUAGCAUUUUUGACUCAUUGUAACUCAUUUAAUCUUCACAAUGACUCUAUAAAGUAGGUAUUAGUAUUAUUAUUAUUAUCCCAUUGUGUAGAUGAGGAAACUAAGACACAGAAAGGAUAAGUAAUUUGUCUGAAGUCACAUGGCUAGUAAGUGUUGGGGCUACCAUGUGAACCCAGGUAGUGUGGGGAUAGAACUUGUGCUCAUAACCGCCAUGCUAUACUCUGCCCUAACGUUCUCUGGUCAACAUUCUUAUCUCUUGUCAGCAAACGCUCGUACCCUGACUCCAUCUGGGAUUUGGAAUGCACUCAGGGAAGUGGCUGUGCAUGGAGACUAGAAAUGGAAGAGGCUUCCAAGGUCAUGCCUUUCAGGCUCCCUUCAAAUUCUACAGCUACUGUGAAGAGAGUUGCAUUCCCACAGAGAACAUGUCAGACUGGAGGAAAAUUGUGACAAAAGGU
rnacentral:lncRNA from 10 species